ensembl:lncRNA
GGAUCUCACUACCUGGAUGGGUAAACUGAGGUUUAGAGAGCGAAGUGUGACCUGGGACUCCCUGGGCCCUCUUAAUAGGGUUGUGACCCUUCACUCCUUUGACCUCCUCCAUGAUUAUAAUAACUCGAGACAGCACAGCCAAACAGAUGUGCAUUCACCUUUACCACUAAUAGGCAGGAAGCUCUGCCUCCCUGGGCCUCAGUUUCCACAGAUAUACCAUGGGGUGCCGUAGGGAUUAGAAAGCACGUUUGCCAAGCUCCCAGCAUGAGGUUCAGCUCCCAGCAGGACUGUUCGCUUUUGUCCCAGGACCCUACCACGUCUGUGUGCAAGGCCAGUGCACUUGUCCGUACGGCGUGGGGACCUUUGUCGGGGAUCAGCCUCUGCCUGCAUGUACCACCCACCCAGCCACGCUCCGCUCCCCCCGCCCUCCGUCCAAUCUCAGGAAGUUCCACCUGACCACCCACCCAGUUGCCCAGGGACCAUUAAUUUUUCUAUGGACGAUCAAACCCAGAUAGAGUGGAAGGGCUACCGCACAGCUGAUCCCAAAACAGUAACCAAGGCGCCAGGGACAACAUCUGGGGGUCGACCAGGACAGGCAGUGGACACAACCGUGUUGGCCUUACGUGUACUGGGAAAGUUUUCUCCGGUGUAUGUCCCCGAGGGGCAAAGGGGUAGAAAUCCUCCGCACGGCAAACUGGCACAAUGCAAGAAAAACCGGUCACAUGUAGAACCCUAUCCUAAGGAAGGCUGCAGGGUGAGUGAAAAAUGAGAUUUGAAUGUAGCACACAACGUGGGCUUGGUUUUCUCUCCGCACGUGUGGAAGAAUCGACACCAUGGUGUUAGUCUCUGGGUCUUUCUUUUUUCUUUUCUUUAUUUUUAUUUUAUUUACUUAUGUAUGUAUGUAUGUAUGUAUGUAUGUAUGUAUGUAUGUAUUUUUGAAAGAGAGAGAGAGAGAGAGAGAGAGAGCAAGCAUGGCAGGGGCAGAGAGAGAAAGGUAGAGAGAGAAUCCCAAGCAGGCUCUGCACUGUCAGUACAGAGCCCGAUGCAAGCUCAAUCCCACAAACUGUGAGAUCGUGACCUGAGCCGAGAUCAAGAGUCUGACACUUACCCAACUGAGCCACCCAGACGCCCAGGUUUUUCUUCUUUCUUAUCCCUGACUCUCUUGGCUCCCAGUGGCUAGUCACCAAGGAGUCAGAGACGCUUGACUUCCUGAGGAUCCCUCAGAUCUGUCCCCUGCCACCACCCCUCUCACUCCCCUGCAAAACUUGUCUUCCCUUCCUGUCUUGCUCCCCACAAUUCCAUUCAGGCCCCUCCAUCUAUCCUCUCAGGGCAGCCAAAAGGAUUUUUUUCAACAUGCAGAUUGGAUCCUGUCUCCUUCCCUGUUUGAAAAGCUUUGACUUGGGACACCUGGGUGGCUCAGUUGUUUCAGCAUCCCACUUCAGCUCGGGUCAUGAUCUCGCGGUCCAUGAGUUCAAGCCCCGCAGCAGGCUCUGUGCUGACAGCUCAGAGCCUGGAGCCUGCUUCAGAUACUGUGUCUCCGUCUGUCUCUGCCUCUCCCCUGCUCAUACACUCACCCCCUCUCUGUCUCUCAAAAAUAAACAAACAUUGAAAAAAGAUUUUUUUUUAACC